AGCGAACGCUGGCGGCAGGCUUAACACAUGCAAGUCGAGCGGGCACUUCGGUUUCAGCGGCAGACGGGUGAGUAACACGUGGGAACGUACCCUUUGGUUCGGAAUAACGCUGGGAAACUAGCGCUAAUACCGGAUACGCCCUUCUGGGGAAAGGCUUGCUGCCGAAGGAUCGGCCCGCGUCUGAUUAGCUAGUUGGUGGGGUAAUGGCCUACCAAGGCGACGAUCAGUAGCUGGUCUGAGAGGAUGAUCAGCCACACUGGGACUGAGACACGGCCCAGACUCCUACGGGAAGCAGCAGUGGGGAAUAUUGGACAAUGGGCGCAAGCCUGAUCCAGCCAUGCCGCGUGAGUGAUGAAGGCCUUAGGGUUGUAAAGCUCUUUUGUCCGGGACGAUAAUGACGGUACCGGAAGAAUAAGCCCCGGCUAACUUCGUG
rnacentral:rRNA from 1 species